UAAAGCAAGAAAGGGCGUAUGGGGAAUGCCUAGGCACACUCCGGCGAAGAAGGACGCAGCAAACAGCGAAAUGCGACGGUGAGCGGUAAGCACGUGAAGAGCCGUCGAUAUCCGAAUGGGGGAACCCACACGGAGUCAUAUCCGUGUAUCACAUGUCGAAUACAUAGACAUGAUGAGGCGAGACGCAGGGAACUGAAACAUCUAAGUACCUGCAGGAAGAGAAAAUAAGAAUGAUUUUCUGAGUAGCGGCGAGCGAAAGGGAAAGAGCCCAAACCGAUUUGAGGAUCGGGGUAGUAGGAUCAUCGAUAAAUCAAACAGAGGAUCAUAGAGGAAUCACAUGGGAAGGUGAGCGAGAGAGGGUGAGAGCCCCGUACUCGAAAUGAGAGACUGGAGAGAGAUGACACCUGAGUAGGGCGGGACACGAGAAAUCCUGUCUGAAUCAGCCGGGACCAUCCGGCAAGGCUAAAUACGAGAGAGUGACCGAUAGUGAACCAGUACCGUGAGGGAAAGGUGAAAAGAACCCCGGGAGGGGAGUGAAAGAGAACCUGAAACCAUAUGCCUACAAGAAGUCAGAGCCCGUUAAAGGGUGAUGGCGUGCCUUUUGUAGAAUGAACCGGCGAGUUACUGUAUGGAGCGAGGUUAAGCAGGAUAUGCGGAGCCGAAGCGAAAGCGAGUCUUAAGAGGGCGCGAGUUGCAUGCAGUAGACCCGAAACCGGGUGAUCUAGCCAUGACCAGGUUGAAGUUGGGGUAAAACCCGAUGGAGGACCGAACCGACCCCCGUUGAAACGUUGGCGGAUGAGUUGUGGCUAGGGGUGAAAUUCCAAUCGAACCCGGAGAUAGCUGGUUCUCCCCGAAAUAGCUUUAGGGCUAGCGUCGAGAGAAGAGUUGCGUGAAGGUAGAGCACUGAAUAUGUGAUGGCCCCAUCUCGGGGUACUGAGCAUAAUCAAACUGCGAAUGUCACGCCAACAUGCUCGGCAGUCAGACAGCGGGUGAUAAGGUCCGUUGUCAAGAGGGAAACAGCCCAGACCAUCAGCUAAGGUCCCAAAAUGUAUGCUAAGUGGAAAAGGAUGUGGAGAUGUACAGACAACUAGGAGGUUGGCUCAGAAGCAGCCAUCCUUUAAAGAGUGCGUAACAGCUCACUAGUCGAAUGACUCUGCGCCGAUAAUUUACCGGGGCUAAGCAUACUACCGAAGCUAUGGAUCCCAAGGGAUGGUAGGGGAGCGUUCCAUGAACGGAGAAGUACGACCGAAAGGACGUGUGGAGAUCAUGGAAGAGAGAAUGCCGGUGUGAGUAGCGGAACGUGGGUGAGAAUCCCACGCACCGAAAACCCAAGGUUUCCAGAGGAAGGUUCGUCCGCUCUGGGUAAGUCGGGACCUAAGGCGAGGCCGAAAGGCGUAGUCGAUGGACAACAGGUAGAGAUUCCUGUACCCGUAUAUAUGUGAAGGAAUGACGGAGAGAGGAAGCUGCAGCCAGCGGCUGGAAGAGCUGGUGCAAGCGAGAUAUCGGGAUGGCAGGCAAAUCCACCAUCCGAAACGAGAAGGCGUGAAGCGUACGGAAAGCUACGGCGAGUACGGAAGGCAGUGGAGGAACUUCCAAGAAAAGUUUCUAACGUUAAGUAUAUAUGGCCCGUACCGAAAAUGGACACACAUGGGUGAGGAGAGAAUCCUAAGGUGAGCGAGAGAACUAUAGCUAAGGAACUCUGCAAAAUGACUCCGUAACUUCGGGAGAAGGAGUGCUCAUAGAGAUAUGAGCCGCAGUGAAACGGCCCAAGCGACUGUUUACCAAAAACACAGCUCUCUGCUAAGCCGCAAGGCGAAGUAUAGGGGGUGACGCCUGCCCGGUGCUGGAAGGUUAAGGGGAGGGGUUAACGCAAGUGAAGCCCUGAACUGAAGCCCCAGUAAACGGCGGCCGUAACUAUAACGGUCCUAAGGUAGCGAAAUUCCUUGUCAGGUAAGUUCUGACCCGC
rnacentral:rRNA from 1 species